rnacentral:misc_RNA from 1 species
UUGGAAGAGGGAGUUGUAUGUCCUUGUGAAGAAGUAGUAGAAGUUUGUGUCUGAUUGUCAGUGAUGGUUUUUAAUAUUCUUAACUGUUGAGUUGAUUUAGACUGAGUAUACAAACAUAAUACUUAAUUUUUAUGUUAAUAGUAAACUUUUACAUUUGCAUUUUUAAGCUACUAAGGUGCAGUGUUGUGUGAUGACGUAGCCUAGGCGGCGAGUAAAAAGACAGAAAACUUGGUUCUUAAAUAUUUCUUCAAGUAAAUUGUGUAUGAAGCCAUGAGUAUGGGAGUGAAAAUUUACCUCUCUUGGAUGUUUAAGCAGAGUAAAUAUAAAUGAAAUAUAGAAGUGUGUGUUCAGUGAAAAUAAAUAAUAAGUUGUAUAAACAAAAAGUGACAAGAGGGGUAUUGAAUGGAUAUUAGAUUCUGAAAUAAAAGGUUGACAGGUUUUAGAUAUUGGCCUAAGUUAUCUAUGAUCAGUAAAUAGGGCAUUUAUCUUCAGCAAAUAAAUAACACUUUUUUAAACAGUGUGAAAAUUAUACAGUACUGUGCUAAGAGGUGCUAGGUGUUUGAUUUUUGGAAAGACUGGACUUAUUGCUCCAUUGACAGCACAAUUUGGCCUAUAUAAUACAAUGCCUAAAAUCAAUUAUGAGCAUCUAAAACCAUUUUCAGAACCUGCAAGUGUAGCUGACGAAGUGAAGACGUGCGUUUUGUCAAAGAUUGAGGUGGCUGUGAUUUAACUUGGAAUGAUGCUCUUAAACUUCUAUCAAUCAUGUUAAUAAAGGUGGAGGUCUUGUAACUAACCGAUCCCGACACCGUCACUCCUGUCGCAAUGUCCAACAGUCAAAUGGUAGAUUCAUGUCUAAGGGUUCUUCAAGACAACCCGCCGGACAUGCCACAGUUUACAGGUCAACCUGAAAUCCAGCAGUCUAGUUCGUAUUCAGUGGACAUAUCUUAUCACCCGUCUAACGGACAUAUUGAUAACCUCUCUCCAAACUCUACUGCCCACCUGCCCGAGAACUCGACUGGAACGCUAGUUUCACGCACACAGAAACAUCAAACAACGCAACAAGUAACGACUGUAACAAAAGUGGUGCGAGAAGUGCACCAUAUGGGCCCAGAGGGCCAGUCCGUGCCGGUGGACUAUGUUUCGGUGCCGGUGGGUCUGCCAUACUCUGCUGUGCCACCCACCACCUCGCCCCACCCCCAUUCCCACCCUCAGUUCUCCAACUACGAACAUAUGGCGGGCCAGGAGCCACCUUUCCCUCCCUCCGAAUCAGGGCGACAUUACACGGAUCAGUAUCGGCCUACUUAUCAAGACUAUGACCACUAUCCGUAUCCAAACCAAGUAUAUCCAGGGACAUAUCCUGCUUACGGACAGCAGGACUAUAGCGAACGGCCCCCCACCCCUCCCAGUCCGAGCGAACCCAGCGACUCCCCCACGCCCCAACAUGAUUUUUUAAGAAAGGGGCCUCCAUUCCCAUCAGCAGGGUACGAUGAGUUAGAAGCGGCACAUAUCUUGCCACGCACAGACCACUACAGGAUAACUCCUUCUCCGGGAGGCUUAGGAGACAGAUAUGAUCAAAUGAGCAAUCCAUGGCCUAUUGAUGAUUCAGGUGAACCUUCACAAAUACCUCAUGGUGAUGUAGGAGAUUUAGUAGGCAAAGUAGUUUAUGGGUACGACCCCGUAUCACCGUACGGGACGCUGCAGCCCUAUAUUAGGAACGGGUCUGCAAACGAUGGCCACAACUACGAUGAUAGGCCUGGGUAUCAGGAGACAGCCUCCCCUUCAGUAGACGAUGACCACAGGGGAAUGAGAUGGCGAGACCCCAACUUAACCGAAGUCAUUAGUUUUCUAAGCAAUCCUAACAAUGUCAUCAAAGCAAACGCAGCAGCCUAUCUUCAGCAUUUAUGCUAUAUGGAUGAUCCAAACAAGCAAAAAACGAGAUCGUUGGGUGGCAUACCUCCUCUUGUAAAGUUGUUAAACCACGAAAGUCCAGAUGUAUACAGGAACGCAUGUGGUGCUCUCAGAAAUUUGUCGUACGGCCGACAAAACGACGAAAACAAACGAGCGAUCAAAAACGCUGGUGGUAUUCCUUUACUCAUGAACUUGUUAAAGAAACCAUCGGAUGCGGAAGUAAAGGAAUUGGUUACUGGUGUUUUAUGGAAUUUAUCUUCCUGCGAAGACCUAAAGAAGUCAAUAAUUGAUGAUGGGCUCUCCAUGGUAGUCAAUUUAAUUAUCAUUCCUCACUCCGGAUGGGACCCGACGUCUUCCGGAGAAACAUGUUGGUCAACAAUAUUUAGGAACACAUCUGGAGUACUUAGGAACGUAAGUUCGGCUGGCGAAUACGCACGUAAGAAGCUACGCGAGUGUGAGGGGCUGGUAGACUCUCUGUUGUAUGUCGUGCGCUCAGCUAUAGAGAAGUCCAAUAUCAGCAACAAGAGUGUAGAGAACUGUGUCUGUAUCCUGCGCAACUUGAGUUACCGCUGUCAGGAGGUCGAGGACCCCAAUUACGACAAACAUCCCUUGCCCACCCAGAGCAGAGUCGGACCUCCACCUAAAGGUCUGCAUCUCUGUGCAGGUGAAAACUUGGGCUGUUUUGGUGCUAGUAAAAAGAAAAAAGAAGCUCAAAUGGUGCAACAAAAAGAGACUGCUAGCACAAGCAGGAGCACGAGCAGAUCCGAGCCUAUCAAGGGUAUGGAGCUGUUGUGGCAGCCCGAGGUGGUGCAGUCAUAUCUGUCACUUCUUCAAACAUGUUCGAACCCAGAGACGUUGGAAGCGGCCGCCGGUGCUCUGCAGAAUCUGGCCGCGUGCUACUGGCAGCCUAGCAUCGAGAUCAGAGCUGCCGUACGCAAGGAGAAGGGUCUGCCAAUUCUGGUGGAACUGCUCAGGAUGGAAGUGGACAGAGUCGUCUGCGCUGUGGCCACAGCACUACGCAAUCUCGCUAUUGAUCAGCGCAACAAAGAAUUAAUAGGAAAGUAUGCGAUGCGAGAUUUGGUGCAAAAGUUACCUUCCGGUAAUCCUCAGCAUGACCAGGGAACGUCAGACGAUACCAUCGCAGCUGUUCUUGCCACUCUCAACGAAGUCAUUAAAAAGAAUGCAGAAUUUUCAAGGUCUCUGUUCGAGUCUGGAGGAGUGGAAAGGUUGAUGAACAUCACGCGGCAGCGACAGAAGUACACUCCAAGGGUGCUCAAAUUCGCUGGACAGGUUCUCUUCACCAUGUGGCAGCACCAGGAGCUCCGGGAGGUGUACAAGAAACACGGAUGGAAGGAGCAGGACUUUGUCACCAAGACUGUGGCCGCACGCAAUGCUGGGCCUCACUCGCCGAACAAUGCCAACAACACCCUCAACCGACCGAUGGCGAGCCAAGGUGGUACCCGCUACGAAGACAGAACCAUCCAGAGGCCUGUCAAUUCCGAAACAACAAGAUCCCCCGGUGCAUCCAAUAACUUCCCCACUAAUGAAGAGAUUCCAAUGGCAGACAUGUCGUAUCCAGAAGGAGGGACUCAUGCUCCACCUCCCGGUGGCGUCAGAAUUUACCCACCGGCACCGGUAAAGCCCGGAGAACCGUUGUACGCUCAAGUGAAUCGAGAAAAGAAGAAGAAUCGAGGUCCAGGAAACCAGAUAGAGGGAGGAGUGGCGCCGGGCCCUGGGGACAUGUGGGGUUACGAGGAGCAGGGAGCUCCCAACUCCACCCCCGCCGCCAAGGGGUUGGUGGUAGACGGCCACGGACACAUGGCAGCUCCAGCCCCGCCCGGGGGUGACUCGUGGGUGUAGAUCCCGGACUCAGUUUUCUACUGUGUAUAGUUUAUUUAUUAAUGGAUCAGUGCUCAGCUUGUUCCCAGACACUGCCUACUACAUACAGUGUUGUCUAUCCCUUUUCUAAGCAAUUACUUUGUACAUAAGGUAAGUCGCGUAGGCUGGCGGGCCGAGCCUCUGCGCGGGGACUGUGCCAUCCACCGGACGAUACGAUCAUACCACGUUCCAUUGUUUUCUUAUUGGGGACUCGAUGUAUUCGGUCUGAUACAACUGUAAGACUCUGCAUUCCAUUCAUGUAAUGUUAUUGUCGGUGUAUCGCUAUGUACAUGAAACCAAAUGGUCAGAUGUGUAGCUCUAUUUUACUUAUUUUUUAAUUUCAUACAAAGUAUAUUUUUUAUUUAUGCCUGACUUGACUUCGUAUUUAAGAGCAAGUAAUUUAAACAGUUUUAGUUUUAUAUACAAGACAUUCCGACAGUUUUUAUAACGGUUGAGUUGUUGACUAAGCAUGUAGAUAAUUGUAUUUAAUAUAUUUAUAUGUUAAUUAAAAUUGUUACCUUCUUAUAAGAGCAGUUUUUCAUUUUGGAUGAUGGUGAGUGAACAUGCUAUAUAGUAAAAUUUCAUGACAACUAUUUUAACUAUGUUUUUAAGACAGCUAUUACAAUCCACAUAAUAUAAUCUCGUUUAAAUGUGGAUGCAUAAAAUAAUUUUUAAGUGACAGGAUAAUUUAUACCGAUGUUAUUUCCACCUUGGAUUCCUGUUUAAGUUGUAUUUUAGUACAUCUGUUAUUGAAAUGUAAAUAUUUAGUGCAUUGAUUAAGUCCUUGCUUACUUGGUUUGGACAAACAGGAUGUGAUUAAGUUAGUAACAUUUUUUACCCUUAAAAGACAUUAAGGAAUACUCACUUUUGUUCCCAGAUUAGUAAAACAAAACUGUAGAAGCCUUUGUGUUACAAAAUAUGACACAAUGACAGUGAAUAGGCCUUUUGGCACAACAUUAUCAAGUGAAGUGAUGCCGUUAUAUUUGCCCAAACCCGACUGCAGUAAUUUGUUGAAAAUAAAAAAAUAAGAGUUUAAAUCUACAUAAUUUUAAGAUUUUUCUUGUACUAAAUAAAAUCCAGUACUGACAAUUAAUGUUAUUCCGAAUGUAGAACAUUUUAUUCAUAUCACAUAGUAAACCUAUCCUUAUUUAACAGGGUAGUGGAAUUUUGUAUUAAAUUGAAUAAUAGUAAAUAAUAUGCCUUCAAAUUAAUUAUUCAAUAUUUUAAAUAUUAACAGCAAACAAUGUGACUACAUGAAAAUAACUGACAAAUAAUUAAACAUUUCCACCAUCAUUACAAGUUUAUUAUGUCGGUUGCAUUUUUUUAUGUAAAAUUUUAUGUUAUUCACAUCAUUUAAACCCUAAAGUUCAUUUGAAUACCAACCAUAGUGAAUUACCAAUAAAAUAUAAAAUCAGAACCAAGAUAAAUAAUUACCUUUGCAUAUGUGAUGAUUUUUACUUAACUUUUAGAGGAUAUAAGGACACUUGACCAAAAAACAUUUAUGAAAGAAGCAGUAAAAGGAGGUUUGUAGACAAAUGACGCAAAAACUAAAUACAUGCAUUUUAGAAAAAGCAAAAAUUAACAGUAAGGAAGCGUCUACAAAUUGAUGGACACAGAUCUAACAACUUGAGUUAUAAAUAACUUUGGGUAAUAAUAGGAAAUCAUAAUUUGAAUGCACAUUUAUUAAUCAAUUAAAGAAGUAUUUCAUUAUCACACACCAAUAUGGUUACAGCUGCUGAAAAAUGUUAUGAAAUAUAACCAGGAAAGAGACUAUCCUAUGGAAGAUUGAGAUAGAUCUGGUGGAAGCAGGUGAACACCGGUAUGGUUACAGCUACUGAAAAAUAUUAUGAAAUGUAACCGGAAAAGAGACUCUCCUAUGGAAGAUUGAGAUAGAUCUGGUGGAAGCAGGUGAACACUGAUAUGGUUAGAGCUGCUGAAUAAUGUUAUGAAAUGUAACCGGAAAAGAGACUAUCCUAUGGAAGAUUGAGAUAUAUCUGGUGGAAGCAGGUGAACACUGAUAUGGUUAGAGCUGCUGAAUAAUGUUAUGAAAUGUAACCGGAAAAGAGACUAUCCUAUGGAAGAUUGAGAUAGAUCUGGUGGAAGCAGGUGAACACUGAUAUGGUUAGAGCUGCUGAAAAAUAUUAUGAAAUGUAACCGGAAAAGAGACUAUCCUAUGGAAGAUUGAAAUAGAUCUGGUGGAAGCAGGUGAACACUGAUAUGGUUAGAGCUGCUGAAUAAUGUUAUGAAAUGUAACCGGAAAAGAGACUAUCCUAUGGAAGAUUGAGAUAGAUCUGGUGGAAGCAGGUGAACACUGAUAUGGUUAGAGCUGCUGAAUAAUGUUAUGAAAUGUAACCGGAAAAGAGACUAUCCUAUGGAAGAUUGAGAUAGAUCUGGUGGAAGCAGGUGAACACCGGUAUGGAUAGAGUUGAAGAAGAAGAAACAGGAUAUCAUUUAAGAUACAGAGAAUUUGUUGUUGCAGCUAACUAUCAAUUUUUAUAUAAAUGACUUUGAGAGUAAAAUGAAAAAGUAUGAAAGGAUACUGCUCAACUUAUACUAUUUUCAAAAUACAGCAUAAUAAUCAAAGUGAAAUACAAAAAUAUAGUAAUUUAGUUAUAUUAAAAUUCUUACAAAAUAAAUCGAGCAGUAACGUAUUUCAAUUAACCCCUUGACUGCCACACGUGUGUUUUCACAAGCCAAAGAGCUGCUUCACUACACAACGCCCAACAGCUAUAAGAUGAUACAUAUUGGCCUCUAGUAGUGUUUAUUUUAACUACAAUUCCACAGCAGUGCUGUAUGAUUGCUACUACACUCUGGCGGUCAACUAAGGAACUAUUAUGAAAGCACAAAGUGAAGUUCUACCUGGAAGUUAGUAACCAAACAUUAUUGUUUUCGACAUUUUUCAAUUGCGUUUUUGUAGUUGCUACCUCAAGUUUUGUAUUUUAUAUUUUAAUUGUGCUACAUAAGGGCUUAGCCCCUACAGUAAGGUUUUGAACGUUUCUGCAUAAGAUCUUGACUGUCUGUAAAUAAUGUGUUGAUUACUUCUGCAUAAAAUCUGUAGGGUGCUGAUUGUUCAUGUGUUCAUGACUGAUUCUCUUAGGAGUAAUACAAUUUUUGAACAGGAGAAAAAUAUUAUGAAAAUAUAUUAUAAAUAUGAUGAGCAUCAUCUCCUUAAAAAAACCCUACAACAUUUAUUAAUACACGUUAUGAACAUAAUAAAUAAUGACAUUGAAAUCCAUUCUUUUCUUUCUUUUUUGUUAUUUGGCUCAGGAUGCAACCAUUGGUGGGGUAUGUAAUUUCAAUUCUUUUGUCACAUCUCUUUUAGGUACUUGUCCUGAAAACAAGAAAAACAGAGAAAAUGUUUGUCAUCCAAUAAGAAACUAUAGGUAUUUAAAGUAAUCUUUAUGUUUUGAAAUCAGGUGCACAAAAAACGGCUGAAGACAAAAAAGUGAAAGUUUUACAGUAUUUAUUCAGAUUCUUUGUUGAAUAUAUUCUUUGAGAAUAGAAACAACAGUCAGAAGAAUUUUUAUGUUAGAAAAGUAUGUGAAGGUAUCAGUGUUUGUAAAACUUAGGACAUUUUAGUCAAAGUACAUGUAAUGUAUUUAGUAGUGUGCUUGACCACUUGCACAGGUGAGGAACUCACUGAUGCAGUAAAUGGAUUUGUCUAUGAGCCAGUGGUGCAGAGAUGUGCUUUCAGCUUUUUUUAGCUCUGUAGUAAGAGCAUUGAAGAGUUUUGCACCAGCAUAUCCAGGCUUCUUCUCAAAUAGAGUUGUCCUGUGUGUUGUUAGGUAGAAGUCAUUAUCUUGUUGGGUGUUUCGUUCUGAAUCUCCUUAUUUUUUGGCAAAUUAAGUCUUGAUGCCUCAUUUCCAGGAUGAACCACUGUCAGUCAGGAUCUUGCCACUGUCAAGAUUUUAAAAUUCUUUAAAGCCUUUCGAUAGCUGUCACAUGGCUUCAAAUUUGCUAUAAUCCUAAUGAAGGAUCAUUAUCCGGUGGAAGUAGUCACCUGAUGAGCCUUCCCACAUAGUCAUACCAUAUAUCACACGUGACUCAAAUAGAGCAUAAUAAGCUGUUUUAGUCGCUUUGUCAGCACUAAAUGAUCUUCGCUCUGUUUAGGGAAAAAAUGGCUGUGCUGAGUUGGGAACUUAGUUUAUCAAUAUGGAAAUUCCAUGACAAGUGAUCAUCCAGCAAUAUUACUGAUAUCCUUCUUGUGCCUUCCGUCUUGUAUGCAAAAAAAUAAAUGAAGAGAGUGACAUGUUUUUUAUUUAUAAAAAAUGCAAUUUUCUGUAACUACAUUUCAUUAAGAAACUUGUCAUUCUCUGAAUUCCGAACUUGUAUACAUAAUUAAAAAUUACACAUUAUCUUCAGCCGUUUCUCCUAGGAUCUGAUUAUAAAAUUGGCCAAAAUGCCCACUUUACAUGCCUAUAAAUUCUUGUGGAGUACUUAAAAAAGUUAAAACUUUUUUUUAUUUUUCAGGAAAUUUAUCUUAAAGGAAAAUGGCUAGAUGAUAAACCAAUAAAACCAGUUGCAUUGGUGCACAACAUCGUUAUUAAGUAAUAUAUUUGUAUAAAUAUUCAAGCAUGAACAGUCAGCACAUACAUAUAUGCUUGUUUGAAUGUGAACAAUUUUGGCUUUGGUUAUAUUUAUGCACAAAAUACUCUAAUAUUUGUACUUUGGUAAAUAAUACCUUAAGAAAUGAAAUAAUGUUUUUUGUCACUGUAAAAUGUAAAUAUUUUGUGUUUAUUUUAUAAUUUUAAUUAUAUAAAAAUUAAUUUAAAAUCUGUUUGGUUAUAUAAAUAUAUUGGAUUAUAGUACUAUUCCAUAUGUAGGUUUAUUUCCCUAAUACACCCAUUUGCACAUUAUUUAGUAGUGUUCAAUUUUGAUUUCAUCAAGUGCAUGAAAAUUACAAUUUCGGCCUACACAAAUUUUCCUACUCUGCCCCCAAAGGAUUAAGAUGUUGACGUGCUUCUUUAAGACGUUUAAGUACCCUGUAUGAGAUAUUUAUUGGACCUUCAUAAGGUUAUUAUUUUACUGUAUUUAUUGGUUUGGUCGUAUUAGUGUGACCUCUGUACUGAAUAAUCUUUAGUAGGUUAAUAAGCAUUUUAAUUUUUUUAAUGAGGUUUGCAGUGUUUUUUCUAAUAGUUUUAAUAGUGAAAACCUUAUAAUGAUGUGUAUUGGUAGGUAACCAAUAAACUCUUGAAUUUAAGCUAUUCACUCACCAUUAUCGAAAGCAACUUCAAACAAACAUCAAAUAGUGAUUAGGUGAACUGUAUCUGACGGAGAAGGUUUUCUAACACCAAUUGGUUUCUUUGUACACCACACACUGAAUCAAACCAAAUACAUGGCACCAUAUUAGAGUGUUAGAACAUGGUGUAAUAGUCAACUCGUCUUUACAUUAUUAUUAAGAUAAUAUAAUAUUAUUUACACAUAAAAGACCAUUUUUUCUUAGAAAAUAUAGUAAAUGUGUAUUUAUAUUGGAAUAAUUGUUUUAUUUUCCUUUAAUGAAGUAUUUUGUUGGUUUUGAUCUCUUUUUAUUGAUAGUUUUUAAUAAAGUGGCAUGUUCUACUGGUUCCGUCUGUUUUUAGCUUUUCUGUACAUUCUCAGUAUGCUAUGUGAUCAAGAAAUGUCAAAUUUUAUCUGUUAUAUGUUCUCUUGAAAUCGUUUAACUCACUUUUGCAGGCCUCUAAUAUGUUAUCUGUGCUAUCAAGUAGCAGCUUAUAUGAAAAUGCAGCAUAUUUUUAGAUUAUAGGUUGAUGGUCACUUUAUUGUUUGAAUUCUAGAACGUUUUGUAGCCAUUAUUGCGAUUUUGAUGUUUUCUCGUGUUACCUUUAUGACUUAUAUUCUCAACUCUGAACUCACUGGGGUGGAUUUUUUCAUUUACCUAAUUGGAGAACAAACCAACAAAAAUGGCUAGUUCAAUAUCAACUGGGUAAUUAAACCAUGAAUUGGUUACUUUUUUAUUUCAAUUGAUUUUAUAACCAUUUGUGUGGUUUUUUUUUGUUUGAGUGAACAGUACAUGUUGGUGUAAGAUAGUUUACUGUUUUGGUGUAAAGAACGAAAGAUAAGCUGUUGUAAGAUUUAGUUUAUUGUUUAUUCUUCAUGAUUCCACGUAAUUAAUUUUAGAAUUUUGUCCAUAAUUUAUUUUAUUUAUAUUAAAGAAUGCGUACAGUAAAUUGAUAAUUACAUGUUUACAUUUUUUGUGGUAGGGGUUAAAAUAAACUCUAAAAGGAACAAGAUUUUUCAGUGGUUGUUUUCAGCUAAAACCAAAAAAUAUUUUUUGACAAUGAAUACGUUUUUUUUUUUUCAAUGUUAAAAGAAGGGAAAUAUAAAAUUAUGGUUCAACAGUCAUUUUAGUAAAAGGGAUGUACGCAAAGUUUGGUUACAUUACAUUUAUAUCAAAAUUUCCAUGCAUUUUUUAAUACUUUACAAAGUUUUUCAUACAGUUUUUUAAUAAUGAGCUGUUAAAGAAUGAAUUUGUGCUGGUAUGAAAUUCAGAAAACUGAUAAUUUAGUAUUGGUGAAACGCAAGAGACUUGUAUGAUACUUAUAGAUCAGCAUUAAUGGGGUAAUUUGCAUAACAUAAUAUUUAUUUUCAGUUACAAACAAAUUCUCUAAAAUAAUUUAUUUGAAAUUAGUCUAAUAGUUUAUAAAUAACGUUGCUUUACUUGAAAAACAUAAUACACAAACGCUGCAAAGUUUUGAACAUGUAAGGACUGAGUCAGUAUAAUCUUGACAACAAAUCCAAAGUUUGUUUUGUGAGGAGAAGGUAUUCCUGAUAUUUAUACUUAUUAUUAAAUUGAUUUCUAGUGAUUACAACGUAGUUUAUGUUAAAGUAUAUGAUUACUUGUUAAUGGCCUAUUUAAGUUUUAAACUCUAUUGCACAAAGUUAGAAUGUGAAAAGUGGUUUCGGUUCAAAUAUAUUGUUCAUAAAAAUAUUUAAAUAAAGAUUAAAAUCACAAAUGUAUUUGUAAGUAGUUGUUUAGCCAACUCUUUGUUUCCCAAGUUAAUAUAAUAAUUUUGUGAUAAUUUUGUAUACUUUUUCAAGUUGUGCAUGCAUAUUACGUGAAAGAUGAAUUUUUAAAUAAAAGGUUAAUACCACUAUUCGUUAACCGCAAUUAGACAAGUAAGCAUAAUAUUCCGUUUUACCAAAGUGAAAUCAGCAUAAAUAAGAAAAUUUACACUUCUGUCACAAGGUAAAAUCUGAACUGUGACAAAUCGCAGCUACUGUAAGUUUGUUUUUAACGCAAUAAAAUUCUAACAGCCACGUUAAAAAACUCAGUAGGCCGAUGAAAGUGUAUAAGACAAGAAGUUUCGUUGCUGCUAGAGAAACUUAGAAUCAAAUCCCGGAACAAGUCUAAUAAUGUCUGUUAUCUUUACUGUUUGUUCUUAUUCAGGGUUCUCAAUCCUGACGUAAUGUUAAACUUAUUUUGUGUGAGUCAGUAUUUUGAAAUAAAUAUUGAAAAUACGACGUACUAUACGAUUAUAAAAUUUGUUGAUGUCUUACAUUGCAUUGUUUAGCAAAUUUGAACAUUUGAAUAUUCAAUUCUGUUACCCGUAUAUCAAAAUAUAUAUUUUAUUUGUAAAUUUUUUCCAACUGGGCUAGAUAUCUUGUACAAUGUUAGUUUUGUUACUAAAAGAGCCAAACGUUCAUGACACGUAAAUAGUUUUAUAAGUUGUGUGUAGUGUGGUUAUAUGAUUUGUAGAUAGUUAUAUAAAUGUACAAUAAAUUUACAAUGUGUAUAUCCAUAAGGGUUACAGCAGAUAGAAUGGUAUUUAUCAGAACAAUUGCAGAAUGUUAUAAUCUUUAUGUUGUAACUACGAAAGAUAUUUUAUUAUAUUUUAUUUUUAUGUUACUAUUGCUUUACAUAGUUUAUUAACUUUGCAAACAGAGAUCGAUGAUGGCAUUUGCAUAACGAUUGAACAGUAAUUCACAGUAUGUCAACAAUUAAAUUAUACGCGCAUACUUUUAAUUUCAUACUUAAUAAAAUAUUUGGAAUAAUAUAAUGAAGCGAUCAAUUCGAAAGUAUUGUUAUUGAUCAUACAUAAUAUUGUAUUAUAUUUGUUCUUGAAAUUCAAAUGUAUACCUUACUUGAAAACUUAUAGUAGCAAUUAAUAAAUUGAAUAAAAAGUUAUAUUUGAAAAAUAAUUCGUGUGGUAUAAAGGCAGCCUUCAAUCUAUCUGUUCAAUCUGUUUAUUAAUAAGAACAAUUUAUAUUGAUUGCUGGCCGACACCUGUAUUUCCACUAUCAUAUGGUACACAACAAUGUUAAAUAGCUUGUUGAAUGGUAAUUGUCUUAUCUUUACCUUAUGUUAAGGGAAAUGUUAUUAUUAUGUAAUAAAACAAUUAUUGAUUAUAUCACAAUAAAUAAUUUUUACAGGUCAAAGCCAA